UACGUAGGUGGCAAGCGUUAUCCGGAUUUAUUGGGUUUAAAGGGUGCGCAGGCGGCACGGCAAGCCGGCGGUCAAAUCGCGGGGCUCAACCCCGCCCAGCCGUCGGAACUGCCGGGCUAGAGUGGGCGAGAAGUGCGCGGAAUGCGUGGUGUAGCGGUGAAAUGCAUAGAUAUCACGCAGAACUCCGACUGCGAAGGCAGCGCACCGGCGCCCUACUGACGCUCAGGCACGAAAGCGUGGGUAUCGAACAGG
rnacentral:rRNA from 1 species